rnacentral:rRNA from 1 species
UUCAGUUUUGCUGGAUGGGUAGGGGAGCGUCGUUCACGAGGUGAAGCCAGCGGGUAACUUCUGGUGGAUUGUGGACGAGUGAGAAUGCAGGCAUGAGUAGCGAAAGACGGGUGAGAAACCCGUCCGCCGGAUGACUAAGGGUUCCAGGGUCAAGCUAAUCUGCCCUGGGUAAGUCGGGACCUAAGGCGAGGCCGACAGGCGUAGUCGAUGGACAACGGGUUGAUAUUCCCGUACCAGUGAAGAACCGCCCAUGCUGAGCCGGUGAUACUAACCGCCCGAACCA